rnacentral:rRNA from 11 species
AUUUAGAGCAAUGGUCUAACAACACCAACAGAUCCCAUCUGACCUUAGAAACUAAGUAGGGUAAAGCUCUGGUUUGUAUUUACAUGGGAGAUUACCAACAAAUACCAGGUGCAGUAGGCU